GGCGACAGGUUCCGGCUGGAGUGCGGUGCAUUAUUAUCCGCAGCUGUUCGUGAUCAUCUUCAUCAGCGGCGCAGACUUAAGGAGUUGGCCGCCAGUCCAGCGUCGCCUGAGUGUUAGCCAGUCACGGUACCUCUGAGCCCCCUGAGCCUGUCUCUGUGUUUCUAGUUGUCUUGAACAUUCUAGUAAUUAUCUUUGUUUACUCCGUUGCCUUUUAGGUGAUCCUUUGAUGAGAUCCCGGUUGAAUUCCUGGUUUAUGAACCACCCUCGUGACGCCGUGGAAAGUAUCCACAGGUUGCCCGAGUUCCCAGACUCACCUCUCCGUUGUUUGGCAAUUAUCUCCUGGACCCACCGGCUGGCGGCCGUACCACUCCUCCGUCUCCCCGCUGCACCCGUGCCUACCUGUCCGCUGCCCACCGCACUCCUCCGCUGUUCCUGGACCCACCAAGAACCGAGACCCCGGACAUACUUGGUUUCCCCUCCAAGACUCUGUUCAUCAGCAACAAUGAACCAUUGUUGCCGUCCCUGUUUUUGCCCCUGGACCAGACCAUCCUGAUUCUCGCUGAUAAUUGUGUGAUCAUUAUUAAAUCAUUUAACACUGA